rnacentral:lncRNA from 1 species
AAAAUAUGUUUGGAUAAAUAUGUUGAGGCUAAGACGCAGAGAUUCUUCAAUGUUGGGGAAAAGGAAACCACUAAAAGAGUCUGCAAAGGGACCUUGGAUACCUCAAAAAUGGUGCUACAAGACAAGAUAGUCUAGGAAAGAUAGAAGCGUCUGAGAGGUAAUCAUCGCUUAAUGUGUUGAAGACUGUGCCACCAUGCUCAAGUGGGCUUGUAUUAUGUCAGCUUGCAGAGCCAAUACUGCAACGAAUUUGCAAAGACUUGCAGCCACUCUCUCUCUGACCACCAGAGUGGAAAGUGCUGCUUUUCAAAUCAUUACAGCAUAAAGUAUGGUUAUAUUUUGCUGAAAACUUACAUUCAUCAAGAUCCACUCCAUGGUAUGAUGCCUCUGCUCAGGGAGACAAUCACAAAACUAGUUAUGCUGUUUUCUCGCAUAUCGAGCAUUUUGGUGGAAGAUAUGAGCGCAGCAGAACUCCUCCUUUCUGUUUGGGACUUACAUACAGCUAAAAUGUAGCUGCAUAUGCAUUCCUCAUUACCAU